rnacentral:rRNA from 1 species
AGCCUCUGGCAUAUACUGACAUGAGCUCGAAGCGUGGUAGCAACAGAUAGAUACUGUAGUCACGCGUAACCGAUGUCUACUAGUCGUUGGUCCCUGAGACUUAGUGACGCAGCUAACGCAAUAAGUAGACCGCCUGGGGAGUACGGCCGCAAGGUUAAAACUCAAAUGAAUUGACGGGGGCCCGCACAAGCGGUGGAGCAUGUGGUUUAAUUCGAUGCAACGCGAAGAACCUUACCUGGUCUUGACAUAUCUAGAAUCCUGCAGAGAUGCGGGAGUGCCUUCGGGAAUUAGAAUACAGGUGCUGCAUGGCUGUCGUCAGCUCGUGUCGUGAGAUGUUGGGUUAAGUCCCGCAACGAGCGCAACCCUUGUCCUUAGUUACCAGCGGGUUAAGCCGGGAACUCUAAGGAUACUGCCAGUGACAAACUGGAGGAAGGCGGGGACGACGUCAAGUCAUCAUGGCCCUUACGACCAGGGCUACACACGUGCUACAAUGGUAGGUACAGAGGGCAGCUACACAGCGAUGUGAUGCGAAUCUCAAAAAGCCUAUCGUAGUCCAGAUUGGAGUCUGCAACUCGACUCCAUGAAGUAGGAAUCGCUAGUAAUCGCGGAUCAGAAUGCCGCGGUGAAUACGUUCCCGGGCCUUGUACACACCGCCCGUCACACCAUGGRARKKGAUUGCACCAGAAGUGGAUAGCUUAACCUUCGGGGGAGCGUUCACCACGGUGUGGUGAUGAUCKG